rnacentral:rRNA from 1 species
AGAGUUUGAUCCUGGCUCAGAUUGAACGCUGGCGGCAGGCCUAACACAUGCAAGUCGAACGGUAACAUUUCUAGCUUGCUAGAAGAUGACGAGUGGCGGACGGGUGAGUAAUGCUUGGGAACUUGCCUUUGCGAGGGGGAUAACAGUUGGAAACGACUGCUAAUACCGCAUAACGUCUACGGACCAAACGGGGCUUAGGCUCCGGCGCAAAGAGAGGCCCAAGUGAGAUUAGCUAGUUGGUAAGGUAAUGGCUUACCAAGGCAACGAUCUCUAGCUGUUCUGAGAGGAAGAUCAGCCACACUGGAACUGAGACACGGUCCAGACUCCUACGGGAGGCAGCAGUGGGGAAUAUUGCACAAUGGGGGAAACCCUGAUGCAGCCAUGCCGCGUGUGUGAAGAAGGCCUUCGGGUUGUAAAGCACUUUCAGUUGUGAGGAAAAGUUAGUAGUUAAUACCUGCUAGCCGUGACGUUAACAAUAGAAGAAGCACCGGCUAACUCCGUGCCAGCAGCCGCGGUAAUACGGAGGGUGCGAGCGUUAAUCGGAAUUACUGGGCGUAAAGCGCACGCAGGCGGUUUGUUAAGCUAGAUGUGAAAGCCCCGGGCUCAACCUGGGAUAGUCAUUUAGAACUGGCAGACUAGAGUCUUGGAGAGGGGAGUGGAAUUCC